GACGAACGCUGGCGGCGUGCUUAACACAUGCAAGUCGAACGGAAAGGCCCUGCUUUUGUGGGGUGCUCGAGUGGCGAACGGGUGAGUAACACGUGAGUAACCUGCCCUUGACUUUGGGAUAACUUCAGGAAACUGGGGCUAAUACCGGAUAGGAGCUCCUGCUGCAUGGUGGGGGUUGGAAAGUUUCGGCGGUUGGGGAUGGACUGGCGGCUUAUCAGCUUGUUGGUGGGGGAGUGGCUUACCAAGGCUUUGACGGGUAGCCGGCCUGAGAGGGUGGCCGGCCACAUUGGGACUGAGAUACGGCCCAGACGCCUACGGGAGGCAGCAGUGGGGAAUAUUGCACAAUGGGCGGAAGCCUGAUGCAGCAACGCCGCGUGCGGGAUGACGGCCUUCGGGUUGUAAACCGCUUUCGCCUGUGACGAAGCGUGAGUGACGGUAAUGGGUAAAGAAGCACCGGCUAACUACGUG
rnacentral:rRNA from 1 species